GACGAACGCUGGCGGCGUGCUUAACACAUGCAAGUCGAACGGAAAGGCCCUGCUUUUGUGGGGUGCUCGAGUGGCGAACGGGUGAGUAACACGUGAGUAACCUGCCCUUGACCUUGGGAUAACUUCAGGAAACUGGGGCUAAUACCGGAUAGGAGCUCCUGCUGCAUGGUGGGGGUUGGAAAGUUUCGGCGGUUGGGGAUGGACUCGCGGCUUAUCAGCUUGUUGGUGGGGUAGUGGCUUACCAAGGCUUUGACGGGUAGCCGGCCUGAGAGGGUGACCGGCGACAUUGGGACUGAGAUACGGCCCAGACUCCUACGGGAGGCAGCAGUGGGGAAUAUUGCAGAAUGGGCGGAAGCCUGAUGCAGCAACGCCGCGUGCGGGAUGACGGCCUUCGGGUUGUAAACCGCUUUCGCCGGUGACGAAGCGUGAGUGACGGUAAUGGGUAAAGAAGCACCGGCUAACUACGUG
rnacentral:rRNA from 1 species